AGAGGAUCCGGGAGAAGGACUGUACACUGUAGCGAUCUUGAUGGCACAUGGCCUGGCUGAUGAGCCUACAUGUGCACUGCUGGAGGCCUAGAUUCGUGUAAAAGCUAUUUUCUACCGACCACAUCUUUCUGGGUCAUGGCUCUUAGCAUCAUUGUUGAGAACUCCCAGUUUCUCUCCCAGGUGCUUCUGCCCUCUCCAGGUUUUUGUCCCUUCCUCUGUCUCCUCCUCCACACAGAAGAGAAUGGGAACUUCUCAGGGGAUGGUGAGAGAGAAACAGUAACUGCUGACCCUGGUAGUGACUUGAAGACGGACUGAUUCUCCUCCCUGCUCCAUUUCCAGAAGCCAUGAUCCAGCUGUGAAGGCCCAGUCACUCCAACUACGUGGGCCGCUGAAAAUCCAGUUUCAACCUGCUUCUCUUUCCCUCUCUUCUCCAGUUCAACCCCAUCCUUCAAAAACUCACCUAAUUCCUCUGGGAAUUAGUCUCUUCCCCCAGGGUCACCAAUUCUGCUUGCUAAUCUCCUGCACCCCUCUGAUCCCCUUCUUGCUUUCCUUCCUCCUACCCAGGCUUUCCUGGCAAAGGCCAACAAAAUAACAAAGACUAGGGAAUAAGUAAACAGCAGCCUCCCCUCGCUUGGGAGUCCCUGGAAGCGCUUCCUUCAUUCACACCGAUGAGCCUCGGGAUUUCAAAGUGCCUGGCACUGCUUCAAGGCCAGUUACAGCGGCCACGGAGUCAUUGUAUUGAGAUGAAGGUGGAUCCAGGCGGUUUCUAUUUUUAGGUUCGAUUGUUUCUGGAAAAGGUUGCACAUCACAUAAUAGGAAAUCCCAAGAGUGUGAAGACUGUUUCCUGCCAGUGGAAGCCUUGUUGUGGUUGGCUGUUCUGACCAUAGAGACACUGAGAAAAAUCUCAGGAUUAACAGUUGAGGCCCAUCAUCAAGGUAACUCCACCUGAAAUUCUCUUUUCACUCCGGGAUCCCCAAGACCUGGGGAUUCGC
rnacentral:lncRNA from 1 species